rnacentral:rRNA from 1 species
ACUAACAAGGAUUCCCCUAGUAACGGCGAGUGAAGAGGGAAGAGCUCAAAUUUGAAAGCUGGUACCUUCGGUAUCCGCGUUGUAACCUCGAGACACGUUUUCCGUGCGGCGCUAUGGACAAGUUCCUUGGAACAGGACAUCGUAGAGGGUGAAAAUCCCGUACUUGCCAUGGAUGUACCGUGCUUUGCGAUACGUGCUCUAAGAGUCGAGUUGUUUGGGAUUGCAGCUCAAAAUGGGUGGUAGACUCCAUCUAAAGCUAAAUAUCGGGGAGAGACCGAUAGCGAACAAGUACCGUGAGGGAAAGAUGAAAAGCACUUUGGAAAGAGAGUUAAAAGUACGUGAAAUUGUCGAAAGGGAAGCGCUUGAAGUCAGCCAUGCCGCUCAGGACUCAGCCUGGCUUUUGCUUGGUGUAUUUCCUGGGUAGCAAGUCAGCAUUGGUUUGGAUCGUCGGAGAAGCAUAGUCGGAAUGUGGCGCCCUCGGGCGUGUUAUAGCCUUCUAUUGGAUACGACGAUCUAGACCAAGGAACGCAGCGCGCCUUAUGGCGGGUCUUCGGACACCUUCGCGCUUAG